AACAACACAGACAUCGGUAGGGUAAAACUAACCUGUCUCUCGGCGGUCUAAACCCAGCUCACGUUCCUUAUUGGUGGGUGAACAAUCCAACGCUUGGUGAAUUCUGCUUCACAAUGAUAGGAAGAGAUAUGCUAUACGAUAA